rnacentral:rRNA from 1 species
GGUUAAGCGACUAAGCGUACACGGUGGAUGCCCUGGCAGUCAGAGGCGAUGAAGGACGUGCUAAUCUGCGAAAAGCGUCGGUAAGGUGAUAUGAACCGUUAUAGCCGGCGAUGUCCGAAUGGGGAAACCCAGUGUGAUUCGUCACACUAUCGUUAACUGAAUACAUAGGUUAACGAGGCGAACCGGGGGAACUGAAACAUCUAAGUACCCCGAGGAAAAGAAAUCAACCGAGAUUCCCCCAGUAGCGGCGAGCGAACGGGGAGCAGCCCAGAGUCUGAAUCAGCUUGUGUGUUAGUGGAACGGUCUGGAAAGUCCGACGGUACAGGGUGAUAGUCCCGUACACCAAAAUGCACAGGUUGUGAACUCGAAGAGUAGGGCGGGACACGUGGUAUCCUGUCUGAAUAUGGGGGGACCAUCCUCCAAGGCUAAAUACU